AGUGAACGCUGGCGGUAGGCCUAACACAUGCAAGUCGAACGGCAGCACAGUAAGAGCUUGCCCUUACGGGUGGCGAGUGGCGGACGGGUGAGGAAUACAUCGGAAUCUACUUUUUCGUGGGGGAUAACGUAGGGAAACUUACGCUAAUACCGCAUACGACCUACGGGUGAAAGCAGGGGAUCUUCGGACCUUGCGCGAUUGAAUGAGCCGAUGUCGGAUUAGCUAGUUGGCGGGGUAAAGGCCCACCAAGGCGACGAUCCGUAGCUGGUCUGAGAGGAUGAUCAGCCACACUGGAACUGAGACACGGUCCAGACUCCUACGAGAGGCAGCAGUGGGGAAUAUUGGACAAUGGGCGCAAGCCUGAUCCAGCCAUACCGCGUGGGUGAAGAAGGCCUUCGGGUUGUAAAGCCCUUUUGUUGGGAAAGAAAAGCAGCAGGUUAAUACCCCGCUGUUCUGACGGUACCCAAAGAAUAAGCACCGGCUAACUUCGUG
rnacentral:rRNA from 1 species